UACAGAGGUCCCAAGCGUUUGUUCGGAUUCAUUGGGCGUAAAGGGUGCGUAGGCGGCGCGGUAAGUCGGGUGUGAAAUCUCGGAGCUUAACUCCGAAACUGCAUUCGAUACUGCCGUGCUUGAGGACUGGAGAGGAGACUGGAAUUUACGGUGUAGCGGUGAAAUGCGUAGAUAUCGUAAGGAAGACCAGUGGCGAAGGCGGGUCUCUGGACAGUUCCUGACGCUGAGGCACGAAGGCCAGGGAGCAAACGGG
rnacentral:rRNA from 1 species